ensembl:lncRNA
GGGGGAGACGCUAGGGGCGGGGAAGAGGCGGCGGCCACCCAGAGAGGGAGCCGAGGCCGGACCUUGAAAGGAAUUGAUUCCGGGGGCCUGGAGCAGAGCUUGACAGCUACGAAGUACUCCACAAAUAUUUGUUGAAAGAUUUUAGCGAGUAACAACACCCACCCGUUUUUGCAGCUGUUUGUCUCCUGAGCCUGGGCACAGUCCACGGCUGCAACGAUCUCCAGGGGAGAGGAAAUACGUAAAGAAGUGUCUUCUUUAAAGAAGAAAAACUUGAGAACCAAGAAGUUUACUACAAAAUUGGAACCUUCCCUUGAGGAGGGGUCUUUCCUGGUGGCUCAGACAGUAAAGACUCUGCCUGCAAUGCAGGUCCCUGCAUUGGGAAGAUCCCCUGGAGAAGGGAAUGGCUACCCACUCCGGUAUUCUUGCCUGGAGAAUUCCAUGGACAGAGGAGCCUGGCGGGCUGCAGUUCAUGGGACCUCAGAAGAGUUGGACACAGCUGAGUGACUUUUCUCUCUAGACAACAACCACAAUGGGUCUCACCUUAGAUUAAAUUAAAGACAUCAUCAAGGCAGGGUGAAACAUUAGAUAAGAUUUUGCUAUCUGUGGAAGGAAAACAUACAGAAAAACUUUACCUGGAGAAAUGUGUCAUGAAUCUGGGCAAGAUAUAACUUCUCCUUGUGGACCAAAGGGAUGGCAACCCACUCCAGUAUUCUUGCCUGGAGAAUUCCAUGGACAGAGGAGCCUGGCAGGCUGCAGUCCAUGGGGUCGAAAAAAGCUAGACAGGACUGAGCGGCUGUCACUCACUGGGGACCGCAGAACUGAUCCAUUUAAACUGGGCAUCCAGGGAGAGAUGCCAGUUAGGGAGUUCCUCCCUCCAGGCCUCAACGUCCUUUGCUCAGGAGUACAGUCAGACCUCCAUAUCUGUGAUUCUGCAUCCGCAGGCAGAUUCAAUCAACUGAGAACGGAAAAUAUUAGGGAAAAAAAUUCAAAAAGUACAACAAUUCACAUAUAAUUUACAUUAUAUUAAGUAUUAUAAGUAGUCUAAAGAUGGUUUCAAACUGUGGUGCUGGAGAAGACUCUUUCGAGUCCCUUGGACAGCAAGGAGAUCAAACCAGUCAAUUCUAAAGGAAAUCAACCCUGAAUAUUCAUUAAAAGGACUGAUGCUAAAGCUGAAGCUUCAAUACUUUGGCCACCUGGUGUGAAGAGCUGGCUUGCUGGAAAAGACCCUGAUGCUGGGAAGGACUGAGGGCAGGAGGAGAAAGGGGCAUCAGAGGAUAAGAUGGUUAGAAAGCAUCACUGACUCAGUGGACAUGAAUUGGAGCAAACACCAGGAGAUAGUGAAGGACAGGGGAGCCUAGCAUGCUGGAGUCCCUGGGGUCAAGAGUUGGAUACAACUUAGUGACUGAACAAUGACAAGGAACAGACUGAUUUCUGCCCUACUUAACACAUUCUGUAAUUUCUGACUUAGUGACUAGAACAACAAAGGUGGUUUAAAUGGGAGGAUGUGCUGUAGAUUAUAUACAAAUACUAUCAUUUUACAGAAGGGACUUGAGCACCUUCAGAUUUUGGUAUGUGGAGGUGGGGGGGGGGCGGUAGAACCAGUUACCCACAGACCCUGAGGGAUGACUGUACAUCCCUGCAUCUCCCAAAAGCCACUCCGAGAGGAAAGAACAGCAGCAGACCUUAUGUUUUAAGUCAUGGUCGGUUGAUGGGAGUGUUUAAAGAUUUUGGGGGAAGGAAAAAAAGUUUUGUUACUCUUAUUUCCUAAGUUCCUCUGCUUUCCCUGUGCUUCGCCUACUCAUCUAUUUGGUUGAUAAAAAGCCAGUCUUGUUACUCUAAUAAAAUAUAACCCAAAGACCUCAAAAUCAUUAUUGCCCUGUUUUGUGUCUUUCUGAAGUAUUCAAAGUGCUGUUGAGAUAGUUUAUUUGCUGGACACUGCCAUUGGAGACAAUGGUGAUAGUUUUAUGACAGGACUGUAUCUCUAUUCAUUUGCAUGUCAGUGCAUUCUCACUUAGAGAUUCCUAAAUGCGUGUAACAGUCUAUACAAAGUGUCGGUCCUGGUGGAAGUGUUCAGUCAUUUAUUUAAAAAGUAUGUACUGACAGCAGCCUGUGUACCAGGCAAGACAGGUAGUAGGCGCUGAAAACAUACAAAAUAUAGGAAAUAAAUGCAAAUAAGGUCCUUACCCCUAUUAAGUGUGGGAUGCAAAUAAUCACAAAAGCAAACGCACCACUGCAACAGUGAUUUGCAAUCCUAAAGGUACACAGUGCUCUCGGAUUGCACAAGAGAACAUAACUACUAUAAGGGAGACCAGAAAGGCCAGUGAGCAGCAGUGUUUGAAUUAAAAUCCAGAAAGAGGAGUGAAAUAGGCAGAGGUAGGGGCGAGUAAGGAAGAGGGAACGAGAUGUCUCAGCAGCAUGGUGUGCAGAGCCUGUGAUGGGAAGUAGUGGCAAUGGAAAUGGAGACUGAAGGUGCUGGAGUAGAAGGCAAGGCCUUCGGCAUCACCCUCCCAGCCACCC